GUUACGUUACAUUUUAACAUAGGACCCCUUAUUUGAUAGCAGUUUCACAAGUCUUGCAUCCAUUGAACUUGUGAGUUUUUGGACAGUUUCUGCUUGAAUUUGUUUGCAAAAGACAUGUGAAAGACAUGAAGAAGACUUCCACCAGGAUUGGAAUACGUCUGCAGAAGAGCCAGGACAGGUAAUUACACGUGAUAGCGAAAAAGAGUGCAGUGAAAUACGCCAGGCUCUGAUGCGGCACCUCAACAUUUAAUUUCUUACCCUGAUUUUAUUAACGUUUUAUUACGGUUUUAUUAAAGUUUUACAUUUAAUCAGACACACGUAAAG